AAUCCUCUAUCUCUCCCUAAUAAUACAGCACGGAUUGAGUCUUUCGGGUUCACCGUCGCUGCUUUUUUACACAAAAGUCCCUGUGAUUUUUUGUAUUGAACCCGCAAUCCAUCACUAACCGGACACAAAAAAACGAUUCGCUGGAAAAAAAUACCUGCCCGCAUCUGGCUCCUCGCCUCGACCCUGGUCAGGCCCAGCCAAAUCCCCCCGGCCGCCGCCGCACCACUCGCUGCAGUGCCCGACCUCAACCCACACGCCGCCGCGGCCGCAGCUCUGCCCGGUCGCGAGCCUCCACCCGCGCGCUCCGCUUUGCGUCGCAGCGGGCGCCAUCCUCCGCUGCCAAAUCGGCGCCCACCGGGCCACACUCUGCGCCGGCUGCGCCGACCGCCGCCUCGUGGAGGAUUACACCGGCUGCCCCGUGCUCACCGAGAUCCUCCGCAUCCUCUUCGUGAAGCGCCCUCGUCACGGGUGGACUUCGAUGCCUGCCUCGCCUACAACAGGAGGUUCAGGCAUACUGCCUUGAUUACGGUGACCACCACCAAUCAACCACUUGGCUGGUUGUCUUUAUAUUGUCACAUUGAUGGACCGUUACAUGGUACAUGGAAAUCUGAAGUCAUUUGUACAUAUUUGCACACAUGAAUGGCAUGCUUGCCGAUGGAAAGUACGGCUUUCGGGUCAGCCCUUCAUGACACUAAUUGUGUGCUACUGCUGCUGAUUAUGCUGCUGCUUAAUACUAAGGAAAAGUUGUUGCCCCCUAUUUUCUAGAUUAUAAGAGUAUGGUAGCACAUGAAUUUAUUGUUAAAAAUAAGAAGAUGAUGCUUGAGUAUAAUUUGGGAUUUAAUAAAACUCACAGUGAGACUAUUAUCUUGCCUGCACCAUCUUUGCUUAACAUAUUUUCAGGCACGUACCUCAUCUUGCCGGAGGCCGUUUACGCAUACCGGAGCCUAACACCAGCUCCAGAGCCUGAGCCGGAACCACCACUGGACCCUUAUCGACGCUCCAUUUAUAAGUGGUAUUCGGAGGAGAUUGCCAACCAGUGGCACCCUGAUGACAUUCCUCAGUACACCGGAGAGAGUAGCUUCAAUCCAUGGGCAUAGACCAACUUAGGCCAAAAGUCUAAGCUUGGCGGAGUGCGUAUUUCUCAUCGACAUUACAUUCAUGUUCACACAUUCAUUCCAGUUGUCGGUGCUCAUACUUUUUCAUUGUGCUAUCCAUGCUAGUUUAUUUUCUUUUUCUCGCUUUCUUCUUGUGUGUUUGAAAAACUUUAAGAAAAAACCAAAAAUUUAAAUUAGUUAUAGCUAUUAGAUAGUUUACUUUCCAUUCCUGUAGUAGUAGUAAUUAAAAGAAAACUCAAAAAGAUUUUCCGUUCUUCUUUUGCUUGUUGGGAGCUUUCCCGUGUAAAUAGUUUUAUUUCUUUUCUUUUCUUUGGAGGUCGAGAGGGGAAGACCAUGAUGAAAAUGUUGAGUGGCUCUCAUAUGCAUUAUUGUUGAUUUAACCAAAAGCCCAUAUUACGUUGCC